rnacentral:rRNA from 1 species
UACGUAGGGUGCGAGCGUUAAUCGGAAUUACUGGGCGUAAAGCGUGCGCAGGCGGUUUUGUAAGCCAGAUGUGAAAGCCCCGGGCUUAACCUGGGAAUGGCAUUUGGGACUGCAAGGCUUGAGUGCGGCAGAGGAGACUGGAAUUCCUGGUGUAGCAGUGAAAUGCGUAGAUAUCAGGAGGAAUACCGAUGGCGAAGGCAGGUCUCUGGGACGUG